GCGGCCUACGGGACGCAGCAGUGGGGAAUAUUGCACAAUGGGGGAAACCCUGAUGCAGCGACGCCGCGUGAGUGAAGAAGAAUCUCGGUACGUAAAGCUCUCUCAGCAGGGAAGAAAAAAAGUCUUUGGCUUUGGACGGUACCUGACUAAGAAGCCCCGGCUAACUACGUGCCAGCAGCCGCGGUAAUACGUAGGGGGCAAGCGUUAUCCGGAUUUACUGGGUGUAAAGGGAGCGUAGACGGCAGCGCAAGUCUGGAGUGAAAGGCCGGGGCUCAACCCCGGAACUGCUUUGGAAACUCUGCAGC
rnacentral:rRNA from 1 species